rnacentral:rRNA from 1 species
GAUGAACGCUAGCUACAGGCUUAACACAUGCAAGUCGAGGGGCAGCAUGGUCUUAGCUUGCUAAGGCCGAUGGCGACCGGCGCACGGGUGAGUAACACGUAUCCAACCUGCCGUCUACUCUUGGACAGCCUUCUGAAAGGAAGAUUAAUACAAGAUGGCAUCAUGAGUCCGCAUGUUCACAUGAUUAAAGGUAUUCCGGUAGACGAUGGGGAUGCGUUCCAUUAGAUAGUAGGCGGGGUAACGGCCCACCUAGUCUUCGAUGGAUAGGGGUUCUGAGAGGAAGGUACCCCACAUUGGAACUGAGACACAGACCAAACUGCUACGCGAGGCAGCAGUGAGGAAUAUUGGGCGAUGGGCGCAGGCCUGAACCAGCCGAGUAGGGUGAAGGAGGACUGCCCUAUGGGUUGUAAACUUCUUUUAUAAAGGAAUAAAGUCGGGUAUGUAUACCGGUUUGCAUGUACUUUAUGAAUAAGGAUCGGCUAACUCCGUG